GACGAACGCUGGCGGCGUGCCUAAUACAUGCAAGUAGAACGCUGAAGGAGGAGCUUGCUUCUCUGGAUGAGUUGCGAACGGGUGAGUAACGCGUAGGUAACCUGCCUGGUAGCGGGGGAUAACUAUUGGAAACGAUAGCUAAUACCGCAUAAUAGCAGUUAUUGCAUGAUAACUGUUUGAAAGGUGCAAUUGCACCACUACCAGAUGGACCUGCGUUGUAUUAGCUAGUUGGUGGGGUAACGGCUCACCAAGGCGACGAUACAUAGCCGACCUGAGAGGGUGAUCGGCCACACUGGGACUGAGACACGGCCCAGACUCCUACGGGAGGCAGCAGUAGGGAAUCUUCGGCAAUGGACGGAAGUCUGACCGAGCCACGCCGCGGGAGUGGAGAAGGUUUUCGGGUCGUAAAGCUCUGUUGUAAGAGAAGAACGAGUGUGAGGGUGGAAAGUUCACACUGUGACGGUAUCUUACCAGAAAGGGACGGCUAACUACGUG
rnacentral:rRNA from 1 species